rnacentral:rRNA from 1 species
AGUGAACGCUGGCGGUAGGCCUAACACAUGCAAGUCGAACGGCAGCACAGUAAGAGCUUGCUCUUACGGGUGGCGAGUGGCGGACGGGUGAGGAAUACAUCGGAAUCUACUUUUUCGUGGGGGAUAACGUAGGGAAACUUACGCUAAUACCGCAUACGACCUACGGGUGAAAGCAGGGGAUCUUCGGACCUUGCGCGAUUGAAUGAGCCGAUGUCGGAUUAGCUAGUUGGCGGGGUAAAGGCCCACCAAGGCGACGAUCCGUAGCUGGUCUGAGAGGAUGAUUAGCCACAUUGGAACUGAGACACGGUCCAGACUCCGACGGGAGGACGCGGUCGAGAAUAUUGGACAAGGGGGGCAAGCCUGAUCCAGCCAUACCGCCGGGGUGAAGAAGGCGUUCGGGUUGUAAAGCCCUUUUGUUGGGAAAGAAAAGCAGCAGGUUAAUACCCCGCUGUUCUGACGGUACCCAAAGAAUAAGCACCGGCUAACUUCGUG